CUUGAUGCCUAUUACAUUAACUAUCCGCCCGGGUACUACGAGCACUAGCUUAAAACCCAAAGGACUUGGCGGUGCUUUAGAUCCACCUAGAGGAGCCUGUUCUAGAACCGAUAACCCCCGUUAAACCUCACCCUCUCUUGUUCUUCCCGCCUAUAUACCGCCGUCGUCAGCUUACCCUGUGAAGGACAUACAGUAAGCAGAACCAGUACAACUCAAAACGCCAGGUCGAGGUGUAGCAUAUGAGAGGGGAAGAAAUGGGCUACAUUCCCUGCAACAGGGAAUACGAACAAUGUAGUGAAAGAUGCAUUUGAAGGAGGAUUUAGCAGUAAGCAGAAAAUAGAGCG
rnacentral:rRNA from 1 species